UUACAAGUGUCACACGGUACUGCCCGGUAUUAAGUCGAGGAAGUGGGGAUGACGUCAAGUCAGCAUGACCUUUAUAUCCAGGGCUACACACACGCUACAAUGGUCAGUACAAUAGGUUGCCAAGCCGCGAGGCGGAGCCAAUCCUAAAAAGCUGGCCUCAGUUCAGAUUGCAGUCUGCAACUCGACUGCAUGAAGUUGGAGUUGCUAGUAACCGCAGGUCAGCUAUACUGCGGUGAAUACGUUCCCGGGGAUU
rnacentral:rRNA from 1 species